rnacentral:tRNA from 1 species
GGAGGGGUUCCCGAGUGGCUAAAGGGAGCAGACUGUAAAUCUGCCGUCUUCGACUUCGCUGGUUCGAAUCCAGCCCCCUCCACCA